rnacentral:rRNA from 1 species
GCGAGCGUUAAUCGGAAUUACUGGGCGUAAAGCGCAUGCAGGUGGUUUGUUAAGUCAGAUGUGAAAGCCCGGGGCUCAACCUCGGAAUUGCAUUUGAAAACUGGCAAACUAGAGUACUGUAGAGGGGGUAGGAAUUUCAGGUGUAGCGGUGAAAUGCGUAGAGAUCUGAAGGAAUACCGGUGGCGAAGGCGGCCCCCUGGACAGAUACUGACACUCAGAUGACGAAAGCGUGGGGAGCAAACAGGAUUAGAUACCCUGGUAG